rnacentral:rRNA from 1 species
AUUGAACGCUUGCGGCAGGCCUAACACAUGCAAGUCGAGCGGUGCGGCGGCCGGGUGAGUUAUGCCUAGGAAUCCGCCUGGUAGUGGGGGAUAACGUCCGGAUACGGGCGCUAAUACCGCAUCCUAUCAGGUGAGCCUAGGUCGGAUUAGCUAGUUGGUGGGGUAAAGGCCUACCAGGGCGACGAUCCGUAACUGGUCUGAGAGGAUGAUCAGUCACACGGGAACUGGGAAACGGUCCAGAAUCGUACGGGAGGCAGCAGUGGGGAAUAUUGGACAAGGGGCGAAGGCCUGAUCCAGCCAUGCCGGGUGUGUGAAGAAGGUCGUCGGAUUGUAAAGCACUUUAAGUUGGGAGGCGUUACCAACAGAAUAAGCACCGGCUAACUUCGUGCCAGAGCCGCGGUAAUUC